rnacentral:rRNA from 1 species
UGAGGAAUAUUGCGCAAUGGGCGAAAGCCUGACGCAGCAACGCCGCGUGCGGGAUGACGGCUCUUCGAGUUGUAAACCGCUGUAGCAGGGGAAAAAGACGCGCUUUUCGGAGCGUGGUGAUGGUACCCUGAAAGUAAGCCUCGGCUAACUACGUGCCAGCAGCCGCGGUAAUACGUAGGAGGCAAGCGUUGUCCGGAUUUACUGGGUGUAAAGGGUCCGCAGGCGGACCUGUGAGUCGGUGGUGAAAUCCUCCAGCUUAACUGGAGAGCUGCCUCCGAUACUGCAGGUCUUGAAUCAAGAAGAGGGGGACGGAAUUCCAGGUGUAGCGGUGAAAUGCUUAGAUAUCUGGAAGAACACCGGUGGCGAAGGCUGUUCCCUGGUCUUCGAUUGACGCUCAUGG